rnacentral:rRNA from 1 species
GACGAACGCUGGCGGCGUGCUUAACACAUGCAAGUCGAGCGGAGCGGCGAACGGGUGAGUAACGCGUGAGUAACUGCCCCCCUCUCUGGGAUAACAGUUGGAAACGGCUGCUAAUACCGGAUUGUGUGGGAUGACGCGCGUCCUAUCAGCUUGUUGGUGGGGUAGUGGCCUACCAGGGCGCCGACGGGUAGCCGGCCUGAGAGGGCGACCGGCCACCAUGGGCUGAGAUACGGCCCAAACGCGUACAGGGGGCAGCAGUGGGGAAUAUUGCACAAUGGGGGAAACCCUGAUGCAGCAACGCGCGUGCGUGAUGACGGCCUUCGGGUUGUAAACCGCUUUCAGCCAUGACGCGGUAGUGGCAGAAGAAGCACCGGCUAACUUCGUGCCAGCAGCCGCGGUAAUUC